rnacentral:rRNA from 1 species
UACGAAGGGGGCUAGCGUUGUUCGGAUUUACUGGGCGUAAAGCGCACGUAGGCGGGCGAUUAAGUCAGGGGUGAAAUCCCGGAGCUCAACUCCGGAACUGCCUUUGAUACUGGUCGUCUAGAGAUCGGAAGAGGUGAGUGGAAUUCCCAGUGUAGAGGUGAAAUUCGUAGAUAUUGGGAAGAACACCAGUGGCGAAGGCGGCUCACUGGUCCGAUACUGACGCUGAGGUGCGAAAGCGUGGGGAGCAAACAGG